CGUCGAGUUGGCUUAGGGAUACGUUCGUUGGGUAGGGGAGCGUUCUGUAAGCCGUUGAAGGUGUGUCGUGAGGCAUGCUGGAGGUAUCAGAAGUGCGAAUGCUGACAUAAGUAACGAUAAAGCGGGUGAAAAGCCCGCUCGCCGGAAGACCAAGGGUUCCUGUCCAACGUUAAUCGGGGCAGGGUGAGUCGACCCCUAAGGCGAGGCCGAAAGGCGUAGUCGAUGGGAAACGGGUUAAUAUUCCCGUACUUGGUGUUACUGCGAAGGGGGGACGGAGAAGGCUAUGUUGGCCGGGCGACGGUUGUCCCGGUUUAAGCGUGUAGGCUGACUUUCCAGGCAAAUCCGGAGAGUCAAGGCUGAGGCGUGACGACGAGGCACCACGGUGCUGAAGCAACAAAUGCCCUGCUUCCAGGAAAAGCCUCUAAGCCUCAGGUAACAUCAAAUCGUACCCCAAACCGACACAGGUGGUCAGGUAGAGAAUACCAAGGCGCUUGAGAGAACUCGGGUGAAGGAACUAGGCAAAAUGGUGCCGUAACUUCGGGAGAAGG
rnacentral:rRNA from 1 species